GAGUGGGGGUGGUCCAAGGCCCCAAGGCGCUGACCCCUUCCUCCAUCACCUCCCUGCUCCCCUUCUCCCCAGUCUCCCCCUCCUUCUGGAUCCAGAGCAUCAGCUUAGCAGUACUGUGGCCCCCAGGGCAUGACCGCAGGCAGGGCGGGGCCUUCCCCCCAAGCAGAGGAAGUACAGGGAGAGGGGCCCAGGGCCGGCAGAGGCACCAAGAACCCCCACGGUUGGAGCAGCUGAGGACCUGCCUCCUGAUGACGUCUGCGUGCUCCCAGGCCUGCCUUCGCCCUCUUCUCAUUUCCUGUGCAUCACAGAGGUGUCCAAGUUGGCAGGGUUUCUUCUUCCCUGGAACCAUGUUCUCUUUCUCAUCACCAUUUCAUCGAUGAGGUAACCAUCACAUACUGGCCAUCUAGAACACUUCCCUGGCAGGAUGCUUUUCCACUGCCAAGAUGGCCAUUUCUUUCUACUUCCACCUAAACAAUUUGGUUUCAACUCCCUGUACCUGCUCUGAAUUUUGAAGAAAUGAUGAAUCGAUUUGUCAAUAAAUAUUUAUCAAGAGUUUACUCUCUUCCAUUCUGUUAUGGGAGUGUAAGAGCAGAGGUUUUUCGAAUAUGAACACUAGGACCUUAAACAAGAGAGUGUGGACUUAGACUUGAGGAAGAGCUUGAUACAGGCUUAGGGGAGGCGGUGGGUGUUGACAAGUGUGCUGUGAGGUGAAAUUUCAUUCAAAUCCAGUUUUAUCUUAGAGAAUAGUGUACAUUUUCCACUCUACUCUUUAAAAUGUCUGUUUGUGUUCAUGUAUAAAUAAUGUUUAGAUUAUUUAC
rnacentral:lncRNA from 1 species